rnacentral:rRNA from 1 species
GAGUUUGAUCAUGGCUCAGGACGAACGCUGGCGGCGUGCCUAAUACAUGCAAGUCGAACGAACGGAGAAAGAAGCUUGCUUUUUUCAAAGUUAGUGGCGAACGGGUGAGUAACACGUGGGUAACCUGCCCAUCAGAGGGGGAUAACAUUCGGAAACGGAUGCUAAAACCGCAUAGGUUCCUUAGUUGCAUGACUGAGGAAGGAAAAGAGGCGUAAGCUUCUGCUGGUGGAUGGACCCGCGGUGCAUUAGCUAGUUGGUGAGGUAACGGCUCACCAAGGCGAUGAUGCAUAGCCGACCUGAGAGGGUGAUCGGCCACAUUGGGACUGAGACACGGCCCAAACUCCUACGGGAGGCAGCAGUAGGGAAUCUUCCGCAAUGGACGCAAGUCUGACGGAGCAACGCCGCGUGAGUGAAGAAGGUUUUCGGAUCGUAAAACUCUGUUGUUAGAGAAGAAUAAGCAUAAUAGUAACUGAUUAUGCCGUGACGUUCNACNA